AUUAAAUAAUUAAUUUCUCAAAAUCAAAGAAUUAUAGUGAAAUAUAGGAUAAAACUCAGGGACACAAUUGUAAAUUUUCCUUACAAAAAUCAGUAGUAGAGACAGAUUUUUGGUGUAGAUAAAAAAUGGAAUUUUGAUUGCUACCCACAGACAAUUUGAAAAUUCUCAUAUUCUUUUCAAUUUUGGAGUUGGGCUUCCAUUCUUUGUUGGGCUGUGGGCACUGUUUUCAUAGGGAAAGCUUCAGAGGUGGCUGAGCAAACCUCCAUGUAUAUAUAACAACUUUACGGCCAUGCUUCUUGAAACCCAUAUACCUUCCUUCUUCAACCUUAUUAAAUUAUAAUUAAUUCACUUGAUCUCCAGUCUUGAACAAGGUGAAAAGGAAUCAACAAGAAUGCGUUCAACCGGCGAAACUCAGAUGACUCCUACUCAGGUAUCAGAUGAAGAAGCGAUUUUGUUUGCUAUGCAACUAGCUAGCGCAUCAGUGUUGCCUAUGGUGCUGAAAUCUGCCAUUGAGCUCGACCUACUUGAAAUCAUGGCUAAAGCAGGUCCUGGUGCAUUCUUGUCGCCAUCCGACAUCGCUUCUCAGCUACCCACCACGAACCCAGAUGCGCCGGUGAUGUUGGACCGUAUCUUGCGACUCUUGGCCAGCUACUCCGUUCUUACUUAUUCUCUGAGAACCCUUCCUGAUGGCAAAGUUGAGAGGCUCUAUGGUCUUGCCCCUGUUUGCAAAUUCUUGACCAAGAAUGAAGAUGGUGUGUCUAUUGCCGCUCUUUGUCUCACGAACCAGGAUAAAGUCCUCAUGGAAAGCUGGUAAUCUUUCUCUGCAACUCUCUCUCUCUUUUUUUGGGUCAAGAAUGCCAAUCUACUAUGCGACUCUCUUGACUCUUUGUUUAAUUGAGUUCUUAAUUCUCAACUUGUUUUAGCACUUCAAAUAUAAAUGGGUACUUAGAAUGAAAUUUAAUUUCAAGAAAACCACAAACUUUUGAAUGUCUAACAUGGGAUUUUUUUUUAAUUAUUUAUAUUAUAAUAUUUUGUAUGAGAAUUUGGUACUUAGUUAAAAGAAGCUACAAGUGAAAUAAGAAAAUUAAGAGACAAACUGGUGGAUGAUUAAUGAGAAAAGGCUUACCAUGCCUAGAAUGAUUGGCGUUUACUAUUUAUUCAUUGCUACUUUUUAAUAGUUUAUGUGUUAAACAGGCUUUGUUUGUCGAUAACUUUUAACAUUGUGUUUAUUAUUUUGAUUAAGAUCAAAAUAUUGAACUUCUCUUAUAUAUAAUGUUUUGUGGCAUAUGUGUUUUAGAAGUUGAAAGAAUAGAUCAUGAAAUAUUACAUUUUUUAUAGUAUUGUGACCAUAAUUAAAAAGAUGAUACAAUCAUUUUUACAUUUAACAGUUAAUCCAAUAGUUAUUUUUACCGAAUAUUUCUGCUUUAAAUCAUUAUAUAAACAACUAACAGCUAUUAAAAUAACUAACUGGUAUUAAAACAACCAAUAUUACCGAACAGGGUCUAGAGAUGGUAAUUCAUACUUAUUCCAGUAAUCCAUUUCAAAUUUAUAACAGACAAUUAAUUGAAAAAAUGGAUUUGUUUAAGGAAGUAUUUUCAACUAUAUUAAUAGGUGGCAACUCUUGACUAACUUGAUUUUCAUUUUAAAGUUGAAAGAAUAAAUUUUAUUUUUAAAUAAAUUAAUUUUUUCUGAAAAAUAUUAACAUUUUGACUUCAAACGACCCAUAACUCAUAAAAUGACAAGAAAUUGUUUUUAAUCGAUUAUCAGCAACAACAUUUAUCAAUUUUAUUGGUUAUAUUAAAAGACAAAGACACUUUAGACAAUUGCAAUUUACUUGCCUGCCUUUAUCCAUAGAUUCGAAUUCCCAGGAAAGUGCUUCUAAUCAAAUGCAG
rnacentral:misc_RNA from 1 species